rnacentral:lncRNA from 1 species
UUUCUUUUCUUUUCUUUUCAUCUUUUGUGUAUUUUAGUCACCAUGAGUGGCUAAAUUCAUUCUUUUCUAGUUGAAGUUGAGAAUAUUCAGAUUUGUGAUGAUUUGGGAGGUUUAAUACUCCAUUGUUGAACUCUUGUUUGUUUCAAUAUUUAUGCAAUCUGAUCUUUUCCAUAAUUAUUACUUGGUUUUUAGAAUCAAUAAGGGCCCAUUGCUUUUAAAUUGCUUAAGUGAUAAAUUGUUUGAAUGAUUUAGGUCCGUAAUUGCUUAAAUUGUUUGAACAUACAUAUAAUCAGUUGCAUAACCUAGCCUUGACCACGCGGUU